rnacentral:rRNA from 1 species
UACAGAGGGGGCAAGCGUUGUUCGGAAUUACUGGGCGUAAAGCGCGCGUAGGCGGGCUGUUAAGUGAGAGGUGAAAGGCUGGGGCUCAACCCCAUGCAGUGCCUCUCAUACUGGCGGUCUUGAGUGCGGCAGGGAGAAGUGGAAUGGCUGGUGUAGCGGUGAAAUGCGUAGAUAUCAGUCGGAACACCGGUGGCGAAGGCGGCUUCUUGGGCCUUUACUGACGCUGAGGCGCGAAAGCUGGGGGAGCGAACGGG